CCAUCAACUCUGACAAUUACAGAGUAUAUAUUUAUCAUUGCAAUCUUAAUUAUAUCAGCAGCAGAUCCCUGACAGAUAGAAUUAACUGCUUGUCUCUGAGCCUUUGAUUUUUCUUUACUGUUUCCAAAUUUUAUUUUUGACAGGAACCGCUUUCUUCCCUUGAGGGUCUCCACAUAACCAUUUUUACGGCAGGAGUCAACUGCUUCAUGGAGCCACGAAGCAACACCAGGAAAAGAACCUUUGAAGCUUUUAAUUUUUUCUGCAGCUUCUUCUGAACUGCAAUUCAG
rnacentral:misc_RNA from 1 species